AUAGGUUAAGUUAAUAAGGGCGCAUGGUGGAUGCCUUGGCACUAGAAGGCGAUGAAGGACGUGACUAACUACGAUAUGCCUCGGUUAGCUGUAAGUAAGCUUACCCGGGGGUUUCCGAAUGGGGCAACCCGAUCUUAAUGAUCAUCAUCUUUUUGAAUUCAUAGAUUAGAUGAAGCAAACGCUGUGAACUGAAACAUCUCAGUAGCAGUAGGAAAGUAAAGAAAUUUCGAUUCCGUCAGUAGCGGCGAGCGAACGCGGAAGAGCCCCAACCUGGAUGCUUGCAUCCAGGGGUUGUAGGACUGAUGUUGAGUUACAAAGGUAUAAGAUAGCAGAAACAGUUGGGAAGCUGUUCCAAAGAGGGUGACAGG
rnacentral:rRNA from 1 species